rnacentral:rRNA from 1 species
GACGAACGCUGGCGGCGUGCCUAAUACAUGCAAGUCGAGCGAAGUUUUUCUGGUGCUUGCACCGGAAAAACUUAGCGGCGAACGGGUGAGUAACACGUAAAGAACCUGCCUCAUAGACUGGGACAACUAUUGGAAACGAUAGCUAAUACCGGAUAAUAGCAUUAACUGCAUGGUUGAUGUUUAAAAGUUGGUUUUGCUAACACUAUGAGAUGGCUUUGCGGUGCAUUAGCUAGUUGGUGGGGUAAAGGCCUACCAAGGCGACGAUGCAUAGCCGACCUGAGAGGGUGAUCGGCCACACGGGGACUGAGACACGGCCCAGACUCCUACGGGAGGCAGCAGUAGGGAAUCUUCCGCAAUGGGCGAAAGCCUGACGGAGCAACGCCGCGUGAGUGAAGAAGGAUUUCGGUUCGUAAAGCUCUGUUGUUAGGGAAGAAUGAUUGUGUAGUAACUAGAUACAGUAGAGACGGUACCUAACCAGAAAGCCACGGCUAACUACGUG